CAGCCAGCAGUUCCAGUUCCAGGCCAGCACCACAAAGAACAGCCACAAGAUGUACAUGAGAAAAUCCAGAGCAGCAGCAAACGACACGUGGAUGGAUGGACAGACAGGGCUUGGGGCUCUCCUCAUCGGAGGUGACGUCAGGGUCGAUGAGCUUCUCCUUCACC